rnacentral:sRNA from 3 species
UGGUUCUUAAAUAAUGAAAGCCCUGCCUCUCUUUCAUCCUUGCGGUCCUUGUAACCGCGCCAGUGGAAAUAAGGCAUCGUAUAUUGU